CACCGCUCUCUCAGGCCCUGCCUUCUGACUCAUCUACACUCUCCGACAGGCCCUCCUUCCAGGAGCUGGAUCAAGUACAUGCUGUGUGUCACAAUCAAGUUCCUCUUCCCACUCUGGUUCCUCUGACUGGGGAGAGCAGGAAAAGGACACAGGAGGAACUUCUGCCUACUCUCUCCUCAAACAAUGAUGGGCCAGCUGGAACAGUGGGGCUCCAGGAAAAGCUCCAGCCACCAUCAAGUCAGCACCAGGACUAUACCCAGGACCUACUGAACACUCAACAAACACUCCAUGAAGGGAAGAAUGAAGAGCUAUCAACUCAAGUCCCUCUCUCAAGGGGUUUCCCAGCCAACUGACUCCAAGUAGAUCACUUACAAUAGCUUUUUGUUUUAAUUUGUGUUGUUAGCCACAGAACUCUUUCUCUGUCCUAAAGCACUCUUACCUCAGAGCCCUGAAGGCCUUCUAGCCAGAGGUUUCUGUGGAUGCUGUGCUUGCCAGAUCCUCCCCAACCACGCCUCCCCCCCCCAACCGGGGAGAGGGCUAGUCACAGGCCAGAGUUUGGCCAUUGACUCUGCCCUAUUUUCCCAUAAAUUGAUUAGCUGGGGACCUUAUUGCCCAGCUGUUUAGCUCUGACAAGAAUUCAAAGCUGGCAACAGGAAGUCCAGGGGAUGAUCCUCAAGGGGAGUUGGGAGAUCAGGGCUGCAGAUUUCACCCCUUGCUCCUGGGACAGAGCUGGAAAGCCUCCGAAACAGCUGGUGGCAGGGAAGGCGGUGUCCAGGCUGACUUGUACCAGCUCUGCGUGGCCAUAGCGCAGUCCUCCAGGCCCCCAGGCCACGGUCCCUGAAAGACCACCCUGCACCUCUUCCUGCCUCCCUGUGUUCUUCCCUCAGUCCUCCACCAAGGGCCAGCAGAAAGGGCCUUCCCAAGGACUGUUUACAUUCUUGCCAUUUUUGCCUGUGUUUAGACUUACUAAAAAACGCAUCUUAAACAUUUACAAGCAAUCAUAGGCCCUUAUGGAUUUCAAAUAAACUUUCCUAUAAAGCAGUCAACUUCAGAGUCUCCAUUCCCCCAAGAUUCAUAAACCCUCAGAGCUGGUAGGCCCUUAAAGACCCCGGGUUCUUGUUUCGUGGAUGGAGAACCUGAGGCCCUGAGAGAGGCAGGGACCCACCCAAGCUCGCAGGGCCCUCGGUGGUAUAGUUAGGGCUGG
rnacentral:lncRNA from 1 species